GAUGAAGAACGUAGCGAAAUGCGAUACGUAGUGUGAAUUGCAGAAUUCAGUGAAUCAUCGAAUCUUUGAACGCACAUUGCGCCCUUUGGUAUUCCAAAGGGCAUGCCUGUUCGAGCGUCAUUUGUACCCUCAAGCUUUGCUUGGUGUUGGGCGUUUUUUGUCUUUGGUUGCCAAAGACUCGCCUUAAACGAUUGGCAGCCGGCCUCCUGGUUUCGCAGCGCAGCACAUUUUUGCGCUUGCAAUCAGCAACAGAGGGCGGCACUCCAUCAAGACUCCAUUUUCACGUUUGACCUCGGAUCAGGUAGGGAUACCCGCUGAACUUAAGCAUAUCAAUAAGCGGAGGA
rnacentral:misc_RNA from 1 species